GGACCCGCACAAGUGGUGGAGCAUGUGGUUUAAUUCGAUGCAACGCGAAGAACCUUACCAAGACUUGACAUCUUCUGCAAAGCUAUAGAGAUAUAGUGGAGGUUAUCAGAAUGACAGGUGGUGCAUGGUUGUCGUCAGCUCGUGUCGUGAGAUGUUGGGUUAAGUCCCGCAACGAGCGCAACCCCUGUCCUUAGUUACUAACAUUAAGUUGAGCACUCUAGGGAGACUGCCUACGCAAGUAGGAGGAAGGUGGGGAUGACGUCAAAUCAUCAUGCCCCUUAUGUCUUGGGCUACACACGUGCUACAAUGGGCAUUACAGAGGGAUGCGAAGCUGCGAGGUGGAGCGAA
rnacentral:rRNA from 1 species